rnacentral:lncRNA from 1 species
GCUGUGAUUUCAUCCUGUUCCACGUUUCUCUGCACCCCUCUUAGAGCCAGUACUGGAGCCAACUGUCCUCUGUGACUCAGUGACCUGUGUGAGUGAAACCUGUAACUACAACCUGAGCUGCACUGCCAGGGAUGGAGGGGACAAUGUGACCUACAGCUGGACUCACACAGCAGGGGGCGCUGUUGUACCCAAUGUGUCCAUUCUGCACAUCUCUCAGAGCCCCCGUGAUGCUCACCUGGCCGUCACCUGCACAGCCCAGAACCCCGCCAGUAACAGCUCCACAACGGCCUCCGCAAAGAACCUUUGUGCAGCUCCCACAGCCGCUCCGGCCUCCUCACUGUCCUACUGCCGCGUCAAGGGGAUCGUCCUGCUGCUGGUGCUGGGAGCCCUGAGCGCCGGGAUCAUCGCGGUGCACGUCCUCCCCGGCAGGGAGCGGAGACGGGCCUGAGAGCAGAGGAGCUCCCACUGCGGCUGCCAAUCCCGCCUGCGCGUUCCCCAGCCCGCCAGCCCGAGGGUGCUCCGGGGGGACGCUCGCUUGCAGCUUCCGAAGGGUGAAUGUCACUGAGUGGGAGGAGGGGAAGUAUUGGGUCCCUCUGUGUGGCGGGAGAUGUGGUGGAGAAUCGGCCCUGCUCAGAGGCGCCCUCUGGCAGCCGCCGGCAGCACAACAGGUGCGCCUGCCUCGGUUUCCUCCCAUCGACCUUCUGAAAAGACCCCAGUGUCUAAUCGUUCCCCUACCUGGGGCUGAUUUAUUGUCCCAGAGUGUAAACAGCCCCUAGGCGCCCAGCCCACAGCUCACGCAAAUCCCCCGACCCAGAGCUCACUGCUCAGUCCCCACGGCUGCUCCAACGCCUGGUUCUUUCCAGGCUUCCCAGACCUUUCCCAGGGACGCCCUGCCGUGCCUGCUCCCCACGAGGCUCUCCCCUCCUCCAUGGCACCCGGCUCUCUGGGGACAGGAGCUCACUUCCAGCUGCACCUGGUUAAUGCCCAAGGCAAGCCGGCCCCGGCCUCUGGCCGUUAAAGGGGCAGAACACCCUGUCACGGAGGCACUUUCCCCCCACUGUGCUCUGGGGCCGAUGACUGUGCGGGGCAGGGCGAUGGAGAGCCAGGACCAAGGAGUUUGGCCAGGAAGAAACUCAGCUGCCUUGUGAACCCAGGACUGGCCAUAAAAACAGGGGACUCCGGCCUGGUCUAGACCCAGCUGCUGCACCAGAAUCACUCUACAGGUCAGUGGGGGAUUUUCUACUGGUACAAUGAAAGCGCUGCCUCCGUUUCUGGGGAUGCCCUUGUCUCAGUGGAAAGGGGCU